GGCAGUGCUCGAAUUUUAUUAAUUUGCGAAAAUUUUAGGUUUUAGUUAUAAUUUUUUAUUCCGGGAGUGUUCGAAAUUCUUAAAACCGCGAUCGCUUAAAUAUCUGAUGUUUAAGAAAAGUGUUUUCUAUUUUAAUUUAAGGCUUCAAAAGUGUUCCAAAUAUUUUUAAAAUUUUAGGUUUUAGUAAAUUUUUUAUCCCGGGAGUGUUUGAAAUUCUUUAAAAUCGCGUUAUUCGAAAAUCUCGUGUAUUUGCAGCGGAUCUCUGAUGCAUCGAUUGCAGACUAUACAUAAGUUAUAAAGAGUAAAAAGAGAUCGAAACCCGUAGUGUGUGUGCCUGAUUGAUCUCCUGGCAGAUCGAUAUUUAUAAUCCAAUUUAGAAACAAGGAUCAAUCAAGGAUGGAUUUUGAUGAAGAAAGAAUAAUCGGAAAGGAGAACUAUUCAUGGAAAAUCAAGGAGGAUCAAUAACAACAAUCGAAAGAUGCGUAGGCGAGACAAGAGUUUUAAACGUUUCGCUAUAUAUGUGGUCAAACGUGUCUUGAAAAAUUAGCUUUUUAUCAACGAUUCAAUCUCUCCUAAUAACGGACACAGUUCCACUUCUCAACGACCAUGUGCAAAUAAUCUAAGGAAGUGUUGGCGUGGACCGUGAGAACUAAGGAAUCUAAUUGUAUGCUUCUUAUGGGGUUUUCGAUGUGACAAUCCCAGGUGAAACGGAAAUAGUUUAAGACAUGAACGAACGACAAGUGGAAGAAAACUUUAGUCCACCUGCACCAAAGUCAACAAGCAGGAUGUACCCGUAUGGCAGGAAAUAAUGUACCUGUUUCUGCAAGGAGUUCAUUUGAAAUUUAACUGUAAGGAUUAUUAAUAUAAUGAAAAAAAAAAAACAAGUGUCUUAGAAACUGAAGGUUAUAAUGUUGUGGACAAGAAACAUAUCCUUAUUAGGAAAAGAAAAAAAAAAGUUUGCGCAAUUUCUUUCAACCGUGAAUAAUUUUUUUUUUCGCGAGUGCUCAAAUUUAUCUUAAAUCGUUUUAUUUUUCCCAGUUUUAUAUUGUAUUUUUUAUUCAUUCUAAUUUUUUACACAUGCGGUGUCGGGAGUGGUCGAAUUUUCUUAAAACCGCGUUCGUUCGAUGAGAAAAGUAUAUUUAAUUUUAUCAGUAUAUUUUCGGGAGUGUUUCACAAAUUUUUAAAAUUCGCGAGUGAGUGUUUUGUGCCAAUUUGGAAACCACCGUUCGAGUGCCGCUUCGGGAUGGAGAUCGGGCAUGGGCGAAGGGUGUCCACGACUGAAGGACAGGAAGGAGGAUGCAGAGAAAGCAUAGCCCCUGCAUAGUUCCCCGGUCUCCCCGCAUAGAAGAGGGGCCACUGGGGUACUGGUCCAGAAGAGGCGAUGCUGCCAUCGCUCCGUCGAGGGAAUCCGCGAUUGGCAAGUGAAAAAAAAAAAAAAUUUUUAAUACUAUAGCGACACUAAUAUCAUUAAUUUCUAAAGAAAUUAAUUAUUUCAGUAAAUUAGUGUUUUUAAUUCAAAUUUUUAAAAUACAAAUAUAUUAAUUUUAAUUUUUUGGAAAUUAUUUUAGAACUUAAUGAAAUGUCAAUUUGUGUUUUGCAAAUUAAUUUUUG